GAUGAACGCUGGCGGCGUGCCUAAUACAUGCAAGUCGAGCGAACAGAUGAGGAGCUUGCUCCUCUGACGUUAGCGGCGGACGGGUGAGUAACACGUGGAUAACCUACCUAUAAGACUGGGAUAACUUCGGGAAACCGGAGCUAAUACCGGAUAAUAUAUUGAACCGCAUGGUUCAAUAGUGAAAGACGGUUUUGCUGUCACUUAUAGAUGGAUCCGCGCCGCAUUAGCUAGUUGGUAAGGUAACGGCUUACCAAGGCAACGAUGCGUAGCCGACCUGAGAGGAUGAUCGGCCACACUGGAACUGAGACACGGUCCAGACUCCUACGGGAGGCAGCAGUAGGGAAUCUUCCGCAAUGGGCGCAAGCCUGAUGGAGCCAUGCCGCGUGAGUGAAGAAGGUCUUCGGAUCGUAAAACUCUGUUGUUGGGAAAGAACAGAUGUGUGAUUAUAUCCCGACGUUUUGACGGUACCCAAACAGUAAGCCACGGCUAACUACGUG
rnacentral:rRNA from 1 species